UAGACUGGCUCAGGACGAACGCUGGCGGCGUGCUUAACACAUGCAAGUCGAACGGAAAGGCCCUGCUUUUGUGGGGUGCUCGAGUGGCGAACGGGUGAGUAACACGUGAGUAACCUGCCCUUGACUUUGGGAUAACUUCAGGAAACUGGGGCUAAUACCGGAUAGGAGCUCCUGCUGCAUGGUGGGGGUUGGAAAGUUUCGGCGGUUGGGGAUGGACUCGCGGCUUAUCAGCUUGUUGGUGGGGUAGUGGCUUACCAAGGCUUUGACGGGUAGCCGGCCUGAGAGGGUGACCGGCCACAUUGGGACUGAGAUACGGCCCAGACUCCUACGGGAGGCAGCAGUGGGGAAUAUUGCACAAUGGGCGGAAGCCUGAUGCAGCAACGCCGCGUGCGGGAUGACGGCCUUCGGGUUGUAAACCGCUUUCGCCUGUGACGAAGCGUGAGUGACGGUAAUGGGUAAAGAAGCACCGGCUAACUACGUGCCAGCAGCCGCGGUGAUACGUAGGGUGCGAGCGUUGUCCGGAUUUAUUGGGCGUAAAGGGCUCGUAGGUGGUUGAUCGCGUCGGAAGUGUAAUCUUGGGGCUUAACCCUGAGCGUGCUUUCGAUACGGGUUGACUUGAGGAAGGUAGGGGAGAAUGGAAUUCCUGGUGGAGCGGUGGAAUGCGCAGAUAUCAGGAGGAACACCAGUGGCGAAGGCGGUUCUCUGGGCCUUCCUGACGCUGAUUU
rnacentral:rRNA from 1 species